rnacentral:rRNA from 1 species
CAAGCCUAUGACGGGUAGCUGGUCUGAAAGGAUGGUCAGCCAGACUGGGACUGCGACACGGCCCAGACUCCUACGGGAGGCAGCAACUAGGAAUUGUGCGCAAUGGACGAAAGUCUGACGCCGCGACAUCGCGUGGAGGAUGAAGGUCUUCGGAUUGUAAACUCCUUUUCUUACCGAACAAGUUCUGAGUGUAGGUAAGGAAUAAGUGCCUGCUAACCACGUGCCAGAAGCAUCGGUAAUACGUGGGGCACGAGCGUUAUCCGGAUUUACUGGGCGUAAAGAGAAGCGUAGGCGGCUCGAUAAGUUUGGUGUUAAAUCUUCCGGCUCAACCGGAAACAAGCACCGAAAACUAUCGAGAUUGAGUCGAGUAGGGAAGAGGGGAAUUCCUGGUGGAGCGGUUAAAUGCGUAGAUAUCAGGAGGAAUACCAAGGGCGAAGGCACCUCUUUGGACUCGUACUGACGCUGAGGCUCGAAAGCGUGGGUAGCAAAACGGAUUAGAUACCCGUGUAGUCCACGCCGUAAACGAUCCCUGUUAGAUGUAUG